AAGUCGUGCGGGUAUCCGCAAGGGUACCAGCGGCGCACGGGUGAGUAACACGUGGGUAAUCUACCCCUCGGAGGGGGAUAACCGGGGGAAACCCCGGCUAAUACCCCAUACGAUCCAACGACGACGGUCGUUGGAUGAAAGGAGCGUUUGCUUCGCCGAGGGAUGAGCCCGCGUCCCAUCAGGUAGUUGGUGGGGUAACGGCCCACCAAGCCUACGACGGGUAGCCGGCCUGAGAGGGUGGCCGGCCACAAGGGCACUGAGACACGGGCCCUACUCCUACGGGAGGCAGCAGUGGGGAAUCUUGGACAAUGGGCGAAAGCCUGAUCCAGCGACGCCGCGUGGGGGAUGAAGCCCUUCGGGGUGUAAACCCCUGUUGCGAGGGAGGGAAUAAGGCCUGGAGGAAAUGCCCAGGCCGAUGACUGUACCUCGCGAGAAAGCCCCGGGCUAACUACGUGCCAGCAGCCGCGGUAAAUACGUAGGGGGGGCAAAGCGUUACCCGGAUUUCACUGGGGCGUAAAGGGGGGGUGUAGGCGGGCUCGGUAAAGUCGGGGUGUGAAAUCCCCACGGCUCCAACCGUGGAAAUUGCGCCCCGAAACUGCUGAGCUUUGGGGGCCGGUAGAGGGGAGACGGAACUGCCGGGUGUAGGGGUGAAAUCCGUAGAUAUCGGGCAGGAACCGCCGGUGGGGAAGCCGGUCUCCUGGGCCGCGCCCGACGCUGAGGCCCGAAAGCUAGGGGAGCAAACCGGAUUAGAUACCCGGGUAGUCCUAGCCGUAAACGAUGCCCACUAGGUGUGGGGGAUUAAUUCCUCCGUGCUGUAGCUAACGCGUUAAGUGGGCCGCCUGGGGAGUACGCCCGCAAGGGUGAAACUCAAAGGAAUUGGCGGGACCCCGCACAAGUGGUGGAGCGCGUGGUUCAAUUGGAUGCUGAGCCAAGAACCUUACCAGGGCUUGACAUGCAGGUGGUACCGACCCGAAAGGGGAGGGACCCCAUCCUUUUGGGUGGGGAGCCUGCACAGGUGGUGCACGGCCGUCGUCAGCUCGUGCCGUGAGGUGUUGGGUUAAGUCCCGCAACGAGCGCAACCCCUGCCCUUAGUUGCCAACGGUUCGGCCGGGCACUCUAAGGGGACCGCCGGCGACGAGCCGGAGGAAGGAGGGGACGACGUCAGGUACUCGUGCCCUUUAUGCCCUGGGCUACACACGCGCUACAAUGGGUGGUACAAUGGGUUGCGACCCCGCGAGGGGGAGCCAAUCCCUAAAACCACCCCCAGUUCGGAUCGCAGGCUGCAACCCGCCUGCGUGAAGCCGGAAUCGCUAGUAAUCGCGGAUCAGCCACGCCGCGGUGAAUACGUUCCCGGGGUUUGCACUCACCGCCCGUCA
rnacentral:rRNA from 1 species